UGUUAUUAGUGGGACGGGACCGUGACCUACCCUAGGGUACUGUACAAUGAGAUAAGGAUAGAUACUACCGGACACUCCCGCUGCACGGCCCGUGACUCUGGUCCAUAUGCGUUCCCUUUUGCAGUAGCCAUCCCCAGGAGCAUGAUUGGCGGCAGGAGAGGCGGAUUCAUCUGAGAUAGAACAUGAACAGUACCUAAAUCUGAGCAGAGGCGCGAGUGGCUGGGACAAGAGGAGGCGCGCAUCCAGCCGCGGUUCCGGGCCGGCGGCACUGGCACGAGUUUCGCCGCCGGUGCUUAUCCAGCGCCGGGGCACAGCGCGCAACACUGUCGGUGACGCCCUGCGCCGUCGUGUAUUCUCCGGAUCCACCACGGGUUGAUGAAGGAUGUUUGGCGCUAUAUUUAUCUUUAUGACAUUUUACAUCUCAAGGGAAACAAUGCAAAGAGGCCGCAUCAAUUUAUCGAGUCUAUAGAUGAAUGAAUGAAUGAGAGUGAAGAGGCGGGUAACGCAAUGGUGAAAAACCAAGAAGUAUCUUGGGGCACAACUUGUAUGGGGUGAUUGUUUUGGGUGCAAGCGUUAUAUGAUAUUGAGAGCUGCGAUAGUGCGAUAUGGCUACGAAGACUAGUUAAUUCUGUUGUCAACCCAUGUAGCGAACUUAAUAUCGGGUACAUUUGCAUUUCUCAGACAUAACCAUUUAUCGCAUUUUUCGUUAGGGAGGUCAAUUGAUGAAUGUCCGAGCUGUGAUUUACAAAUUUAAAAUAUUUUUAUAA